GUGCUCGCUUCGGCAGUACAUAUGCUAAAAUUGGAAUGAUACAGAGAUUAGCAUGGUCCCUGUGCAAGGAUGACACACAAAUUUGUGAAGCGUUCCAUAUUUUU
rnacentral:snRNA from 1 species